rnacentral:rRNA from 1 species
GACGAACGCUGGCGGCGUGCCUAAUACAUGCAAGUAGAACGCACAGUUUAUACCGUAGCUUGCUACACCAUAGACUGUGAGUUGCGAACGGGUGAGUAACGCGUAGGUAACCUGCCUGGUAGCGGGGGAUAACUAUUGGAAACGAUAGCUAAUACCGCAUAAUAUUGAUUAUUGCAUGAUAAUUGAUUGAAAGAUGCUAUUGCAUCACUACCAGAUGGACCUGCGUUGUAUUAGCUAGUAGGUGAGGUAACGGCUCACCUAGGCGACGAUACAUAGCCGACCUGAGAGGGUGAUCGGCCACACUGGGACUGAGACACGGCCCAGACUCCUACGGGAGGCAGCAGUAGGGAACCUUCGGCAAUGGACGAAAGUCUGACCGAGCAACGCCGCGUGAGUGAAGAAGGUUUUCGGAUCGUAAAGCUCGGUUGUAAGAGAAGAACGGGUGUGAGAGUGGAAAGUUCACACUGUGACGGUAUCUUACCAGAAAGAGACGGCUAACUACGUG